rnacentral:rRNA from 1 species
AACGAACGCUGGCGGCAUGCCUAACACAUGCAAGUCGAACGAGACCUUCGGGUCUAGUGGCGCACGGGUGCGUAACGCGUGGGAACCUUCCCUUAGGUUCGGAAUAACUCCCCGAAAGGGGUGCUAAUACCGGAUAAUGUCUUCGGCCCAAAGAUUUAUCGCCUUUGGAUGGGCCCGCGUUGGAUUAGCUAGUUGGUAGGGUAAAAGCCUACCAAGGCGACGAUCCAUAGCUGGUCUGAGAGGAUGAUCAGCCACACUGGGACUGAGACACGGCCCAGACUCCUACGGGAGGCAGCAGUGGGGAAUAUUGGACAAUGGGCGAAAGCCUGAUCCAGCAAUGCCGCGUGAGUGAUGAAGGCCUUAGGGUUGUAAAGCUCUUUUACCCGGGAUGAUAAUGACAGUACCGGGAGAAUAAGCUCCGGCUAACUCCGUG